GGUUUAUGAUUAAAGCUCCGGCGGUAAAAGAUGAGCAUGCGUUCUAUUAGCUAGUAGGUGAGGUAACGGCUCACCUAGGCUACGAUAGAUAGGGGCCCCUGAGAGGGGGAUCCCCCACACUGGUACUGAGACACGGACCAGACUCCUACGGGAGGCAGCAGUGAGGAAUAUUGGACAAUGGAGGAAACUCUGAUCCAGCCAUGCCGCGUGCAGGAUGACUGCCCUAUGGGUUGUAAACUGCUUUUAUAUAGGAAGAAACACUCCCACGUGUGGGGGCUUGACGGUACUAUAUGAAUAAGGAUCGGCUAACUCCGUG
rnacentral:rRNA from 1 species